AAGUCGUAACAAGGUUUCCGUAGGUGAACCUGCGGAAGGAUCAUUAAAGAAAUAAUCUCGAGGGCCUUCGGAAAGGAGAGAGGGUUGUAGCUGGCGCAAGCAACGUGCACGCCCUCUUUCUCGACCUGGGUCCUUAUGGGCGCGGGGCGACCCGCGUCUUCAUAAGCCCCUUCGUGUAGAAAGUCCAUGAAUGUUUUUACCAUCAUCGACUCGCGACUUCUAGGAGACGCGAUUCUUUGAGACAAAAGUUUAUUACAACUUUCAGCAAUGGAUCUCUUGGCUCUC
rnacentral:misc_RNA from 1 species